UACGAAGGGGGCUAGCGUUGCUCGGAUUCAUUGGGCGUAAAGGGUGCGUAGGUGGCGCCGUAAGUCAGGUGUGAAAUCUCGGGGCUUAACUCCGAAACUGCAUUUGAUACUGCGGUGCUUGAGGACUGGAGAGGAGACUGGAAUUUACGGUGUAGCAGUGAAAUGCGUAGAGAUCGUAAGGAAGACCAGUGGCGAAGGCGGGUCUCUGGACAGUUCCUGACACUGAGGCACGAAGGCCAGGGGAGCAAACGGG
rnacentral:rRNA from 1 species